rnacentral:rRNA from 1 species
UACGUAGGGUGCAAGCGUUAAUCGGAAUUACUGGGCGUAAAGCGUGCGCAGGCGGUUCGCUAAGACAGAUGUGAAAUCCCCGGGCUUAACCUGGGAACUGCAUUUGUGACUGGCGGGCUAGAGUAUGGCAGAGGGGGGUAGAAUUCCACGUGUAGCAGUGAAAUGCGUAGAGAUGUGGAGGAAUACCAAUGGCGAAGGCAGCCCCCUGGGCCAAUACUGACGCUCAUGCACGAAAGCGUGGGGAGCAAACAGG